rnacentral:rRNA from 1 species
CCUACGGGAGGCAGCAGUGGGGAAUCUUCCGCAAUGGGCGAAAGCCUGACGGAGCAACGUCGCGUGAUCGAAUGAAGGCCUUCGGGUUGUAAAGAUCUGUUGACAGGGACUAAUAAGCAAUGCGAAUAGUUUUUUGUAUGACGUUACUUGUUUAGAAAGCUCCGGCUAACUACGUGCCAGCAGCCGCGGUAAUACGUAGGGAGCAUGCGUUGUCCGGAAUGACUGGGCGUAAAGGGAGCGUAGGUGGUUGCUUAAGUCAGGUGUGAAUACUCCGGGCUCAACCUGGAGACUGCACUUGAUACUGGGUGUCUUGAGGGCAGUAGAGGAAGGUGGAAUUCGUAGUGUAGCGGUGAAAUGCGUAGAUAUUAGGAGGAACACCAGUGGCGAAGGCAGCUUACUAGACUGUACCUGACACUGAGGCGCGAAAGCGUGGGUAGCGAACGGGAUUAGAUACCCCUGUAGUC